UUGAAAUAUGUGGAGUUAUUAACAAUAUUCUGUAAGCAAGUUUAUAAAUUCUGCAAGCAGAAAAAAUAAUAGUGGCUAAGGUGGGAAGUAGGUGGAUUAUGGCUUGGCACAGCAUGUGAACACAAACAAAACUUUAAGAGGCUGUGUGACACCUUUUUCCCAGUGUAAAGGAAGGAAGGAAGGAAACCUCUUUAUCCCUGCUCUGUUUUGCCUUUACUCCAGAGUGUGGCUGGAAAGAGUUGUCUCAGAAGCCAGAUUGUAUUUAGGUUUUGGGUGAGGUUAGGUGAGCCAGGUUUGUAUUUUCACCUGGACCCUCCUGCUGAGGCAGUGGGAUGAGCUGAAAGAGGAGCUUGUGUGCUGGCCACUUGGUGGGGAUGUUGGCAUGGACAGUGGCCAUGAAUUCAUGUUCCAUUUCUGCCACAGCUCUGCUGAGGAAGCCAAAGGAAACCUGAAUCUUCAGCUUCAGGAUAACAGCUUUGCAGCUUGAUAGUCAUAUAUUCUAGGACUAGCCAGGACCAGGUGACCAGUCCUACAGUGUCUCACAUGGUGCAAAAUGAGAUGAACCCUCACUGCUCUUGGGGCUGGCUGAAGAAGCAGAACAUGAGGAAAGAGCAGCCUCAGAUGUGCCUGAGCACAGCAGCAGCCUCUUCCAGAAGCUCAUUACACCUGAACUUGUGCCUUUAGGCAGCCAGGGGACAGGGGGCUGUUUGAAAGCUGCUCUCAGAUCAGUGAGGACCAACUAGGAUGGCUGUGCUCCUCUGCAAUGUGUGUGACAGAUGUGUCACCUCUGGGCUCACUCUCUCCAAAUGGUCCAUUUCUGUCUCAAAACACGGUGGCCAAAAGCAGAGCACCAGACUUAUGAUGAAAAUCAGCCUUUAAGCAGCAUUUUGGGACCUGCCCUAAUCAGAGUUUUGAGUGGCACCACUCUGAAGUGCGCUGAAGCUGCCUGAUUUGGAGGCAAAAGAGGAGAGAUAGGAAAGCAUGGAUGCAUCCAAUUGAGGGUGAUUUUCUCUGUGUGUGGAGAGAAGCAUGUCUGGGAAUGGACAUUUUGAAUGCAGGUUGCUUGAACACCUACAAGUGACAUCAGUUGUCUGUGUCCUCAGCAGAGCAGAGUGGCAGGAUUCUUUCUGUCUCUGGAAAUGUGCUACAAGGGCAAAGCCACAGAGUGAGUGACUGAUGCAAACUGUUCAAGGAGAGGGGAGAUGUCGAGGGGAAUUGACUGAAGACAGUGUUGAAGUAGAUGGAAACUCCCUGUCAUUUAUCUAUCUCUCCUGUUAUCAUAUCUGGAGCAAGAAAGGAAACAAAUAAGGAAACUUGGGAAAAAACACCAAGCCACAACAAAAAAACCCCCCAUAAGCGCCUUAAAAUAUCCACUGCUCAAAGCAGUUUCUACUUUUGUCCCAUCCGGUGGUAAUUUAUGGCAGUGGAAUCAGACGGAUGCGGGAGCCAGCCCGCUGCUCUUUGGAGGAGCCAGGAAAGGCAGAGGGCUGGGAAGGCUGGGUCUCCCAUGUGACUCCUGCUGAGCUGCGUCCUGUUUGGACCAUGGGAUUUGAUGCUCCAUGGACCUGAAAGGAAGGUCGAUGGAUGUCACAUGAAGAUGCUUGGACUCUCACCCAGACUGAGGAGCAAAACAGGUAUUGUUGAGCAGAGCUAUAGCCAAGAAACCUCCGAAAUCUGUGGGAUGCUUCCUACAACCCAUAGUCUCUGACUUCAGCAACUGGGAAUAUAUCUCCAUGGAAAACUGUGUGAGUGCUUUAAUACCUCUAGAAGGAGUGUUCUGCUUGACUGCAUGCUGAAGGCUUCCCCAUCUCUUGAAGAGGAUCCCUGGCUCUGGCAGGCUGGAGAGUUGCCUUUAUGGACAUCCUGAAGUCUUGGGCUUGAAUGGAAACCCAUAUCCUACUAGGAGAAGAUUGGAUAUACCUCAUCAUCACUUGUGCAUAUUUUUGCCUGCCAGGCAAUUGCAGAAAAAUAGGUCCUGCUAGUGCAUCCCAGCUUCAUCUCCAACAGCCCUGUCUUGACUCCACAUGGCCAUGUUCUGUGGAGCUCCAGGGACACAUCUGACAGCCCAAAGGGAAAAGGCAAACCUCUACAUUUCAUUUGAGCCAGAACUGGCAUCCCAGCCAACAGUGAUGAUUAUGGUUCAGGUUUUCCAUGCUUUGAAUGAUUAUUGUUCAGGUUUUCCAUGCUUCGAAGCCCACCAAGGACUGACUUGGAGUCUCAGCUGAGGACUGGCUCAUAUUACUUCAUGGCCUUGCAGCAGCCAUCUCAGAUGAAAAAAAUUCCCAAAACCAAGAGCAACAAAAAGCUUCCUCAAAGUGGAUGGAGGAGUCCAAGGCAUGGACAGCCCUUCCUGAGCAUCUCUGCCCUGCUCUGGAUUAUUUAACUGGGUUCUGCAAACACAACUUCAAACAGCAAACAGCAAAACAAGGGGAGUGAGACAUAACCUUUUUUUCUGCAGGACCUGCCUGAAGCUGGGUGACAAUGUGGGUACGUUGGCAAUGGAAAAAAAGUUUAUGUUUUAAGCUUCACGUGACCUCUGGAGCUUCUGGGCUUUGGAAGGUGGGAGUGAGACAAUCCUCACAAGCACUCAAUACCUGUCAAAGUGAAGGGGCUUUCCUGGGUACGCAGCUUUCCCCCUUCCUUCCCAGAAGUGUAUCUGAUUUUUGGGGGUGGAAAAAAAGAGGAUUGAUUCAAAUAAAAAUGUAUUUGUAUGAGAAAAAUUAUUUCCUUCCAUGAGUAAACACAUAGUUUGAGGCAAAUUUAUGGCUUUGGCCUGGUCAUUAAUAUCUGGUUGUCAAAAAGUAUUGGUUUGAACAAAAAUAUGUUGUAAUAAAAAUGCAUUGUUUUGAAGAAAUUUAUUGUCCCCAUGAAAACCUAUUCAAUUCAGAAAGAUAUGUUGAUUUCAAUGAAAAUCUAUUUGUUUUAAGAGACAGAGAGAGGGAAGUUGCACUUAGCCGAGAAUCAGGGGCUUCUCUCGGUACAGAUCUCCCUGCAGUCCCUUGGCUAUUAGGAUGGGGAAAGCUGGAAAAUCAACAACUGGGCGGCAAAGGAAACCUGUAGGUCUUGCCUGUGCUCAGUGACCAUCCUCCCAGCUGGAGAAAAGUGCCCAGCUCCCCUAGGGUAAGGAGGGGACAUGGUUGUCUCCAUCCUUAUGGAUUGGAUGGCUUCUCCCACAAACAGCUUUUCUCACCCUGCAAAUCUAAUGUUUAGGUGACUUUCAAAGGUCCUUUCCAACCCAAAGUGAUCUCUCAUUCACCAGUGCGGAUCCCAGCAAGUGGCUGCUCAUGUGAACCCACCUCCAGCUGGAAAGGUGCACCUCUUGUAGGUGACCAGGGACCUUCAUCUUCUGCUUCCUGUCUUGAGCCACACGUGAACAGCAAUGAAGCAAAUGGCUUCAUUUGUUUUAUUCAGUCUAGAAACAACUUCCUAACUUGCUGUGUAGGAAUGUGUGUCGGUGAGAUGGCUGUGUCCACACUGCUACCCAUAAUACUUCCCCUUUGGUGUGGUGGCACAAGGAAAGGGCCCCUUUUGUCUCAGGGCAGCUUUAUGGUGUGUCUUUGUGGUUCUCCCAGCCCUGCUCCGAGAUGGGACUGAGGUUUGCUAUCCUGCCUAAGCCUCUUUCCUUGCCAGCAGGGACUGGAUGAAAUUCACCCUGAGCUCCAAAGCCCUAAUGCUGCCUUAGCUGGGAUUAUGAGAGAAGCCACCAUGGUAUCACCUGAAAUCCACCUCCCGGUGCCUCCUGUUUAAAACAAUCAGCAGAUGUUUGCAGUGGGCUUUUUCUUUCAUUAUGCUCCAACUCUGCUAUUUAAUCAGCUUCUUUCUUCCUCUGUUUGUACAAGGUAUCACUUGCCCAUAUUAAAGGGGGGGAAGGGAAGGUGCGAGAUAAAAAAAAAAAUAAAAUAA